AUCUUUUAGCCAAUGGAUGUGCAAGAGAGGGGAGGUUUGCCCCAUGUUGGCCAGUAAGAAGUGCUUGGGCCGACCCGCCUCCAAGUCCUGGGAGGACAGUUCAAAUUAUGGAGGAGGGGCUGGUGCUAGGCAGCAGUGGCGAGGGGAGUAGAGGGGAUUAGGGGGAGCACGAGAUCAUUCACCUUUGCCGCUCAGAUUACCAAGCCUGUGACUUUGAGAAUCGGUGUCUUCCUUGCAAGGUUUCGAUCUGAGGCUCUUGGGAAGAGGGCGGAAUUGGAGCCUGAUGGAAGCGCUGGAUAUGAACACCCCUUUGUUCAGCAGAUGCAUGCUGUAUGCGCUACCCUUAGUCGCUCAAACCAUUUGUUUGGUAAUAAAGAACAGAAAUUCAGCUAGUAACCUGAAAAGCAGCUGAGAAAUUCACUGUGGAAGAAGCAGACAUUCCAGAGGAGAACUGGGAAUCACUGGUACAGAUGCCCUUACCCAUUGAAACCAGAUUGCUGUAGUUCUCCAACAUCACAUCUCUGUAUAAGUCCCUCUGAACAGGGUCCAGGCAGUCCCACUCCUCCUGAGAGAAGUCUAUGGACACAUCACUGAACAUCACUGAUCCCUGAAACAAUAAACAUACGUAUUACUUGUGUAAUUAAAAAAAUGUAUCAGAGACUACGGUGCUUGUAUUGUGGGGUAAUACAAAAUGAGUCAUUAUAUUGGUGUCACUGAGAACCUGUAUCUUUAGAUCUCAGAAAUAGAUGCAAGAGUAGGAAGUUUAUAUUAAACAAAUUCCUGACUCUGUCCAUUGAAACGGCCUAGAAAUAAUGACUAAUCCAGUAGCAACGAGCAUCCCUAGAGUCUAGAUUGUGGUUUCUUUUCUUUUUUUUUUUU